CGAGGCGUCAGUGUGAAGGGAAGGCUAAGGACGCAUCGGUGCUGGAGAGUUGAGAAUAUGCCUUCCCCUCCACCCCCAACCCAGUCACCUUAUUUGAAAAAAAAUUAAAAAACACCUUUUAUUUAAAAACCUAACCCUGGAAGUUUGCUCGCUGCCUGAAAAUCAUAUGCGUGGUUUUUCCUGUUUCCUGCUCUGUAGCUGACAUCAGGGGAGCAACGUGAACACAGGAAAAUGGAAAUCAACAUUUGAAACUUUUAAAUGGAAGCUUUAUUGGGGUUCCACAUAUGGAAAACUGCAAAUAGCAGAAGUAUGUGACUCAAUAAAUUAUUCUGGAGUGACCACAUCCUCUAACUGCCUCCCAGGACAAGACGGAGAAUGUGAACAAUGCUCCUGAAGGCCCCUUUCCCUCAAAGGUAACCACUGGCCUGACUUCUGACACCAUACAUUUGUUUUGCUUUUUUGAACUUCAUGUAAAUGGAAUCAUAUGAAUCACUGCAAUUGAAGGAAAAAUGCUCCAUGUCCCCUCUGCCAGUUGGUGUUUAUCAAAGGACAACGGAGGAAGAGAGACAAAGUGCCUGGAUGUGUGUGUUAAUCAAGAGUUGUCAGGACCCUGCCUCUAAAAGAAAGCGCUAAAAUGAUGCUUUUGACAAGACUUUUCUCAAAGUGGAUGCAGUCUAAGGGUUGGAAAACAAGGCCCAAUCAGGCUAGGUCUGACUUGUCGCCUGCUUUUGUAAAUAAAGUUUUAUUGGCUCACAGACACA
rnacentral:lncRNA from 1 species